rnacentral:lncRNA from 10 species
GCAUCUCACAGAAGAAGAAUCAACCCAUUCUGCUCAGUGUUACGGAUUGAAUUGCAUUCCCUUGAAAGAUGUUGAAGUUCUAACCCGUAGUGCCUGUGAAUGUGACCUUAUUUGGAAAUGGGGUCCUUGCAGAUGAUUAAGUGAAGAUGAAGACAUUAGGGUGGAAAGUUUGGACUCAGAGACAGAGAUGCACACAAGGAAAAGGCCAUGUGAAGAUGAAGAGAUUGGAGUGACGCGCCAACAAGCCAAGGAACAACAAAGAUCGCCACCAAAACACCAGAGGCAAGGAGAGAGGCCGAGAACAGAUUCUCCCUCAUAGCCCUUCGAAGGAUCCAAGCCCAUGACACCUUAAUUUUGGACUUCUACUCUCCAGAGCUGUGAGAGGAUACAUUUCGGUUAUUUUCAGCCACCCAGUUUACGGACUUUGUUAUGGCAGCCUUGGGAAGCAAAUGCACUCAGUACAUGUUAAUUUGUAUCUUACCUACUUUGUACUUGCAAGGUGUCUCUGGGUCUCUGGUGUACACCACGGCCUGCCCUUGAGCAUGCUGGGGUGCUCAGCACGGGGGUAGCCCUGCAGCCUGACUCUCUGUAGACAGAUCAGGAUCGGUCUAACAUGGAAUUAUGAAGUGGAGCCAGGGUCAGCUUUGGGCCACGCCUGCCUUCUGUGCCGGCCUUGGAUUAUGUUCAAAUUCAUCUCAUGCUACCCCAGCAGAAAAGAGUGUCUUCAAUAAAUUCACUCAAAAGGAGGUACCAGUGAAGAAAUUGUCCCUCCCAAGUGAAUGAGUCACACCCAAAUGCUAAGAUCUGAUUCCUUGGUGCCUGGUUGGGAAAGAUUUUGGGGUCAAGGAGGGGCCCACCCAGACUCCCACACCUGCGUGCCCUGUAGGCCAUGCACCCCGCGUACUGUUCUCUGCACAGAUCUCAUGCUGCCAGACAUCAGGGAUCUUUUCUAGCAGAGAAGGCUAUGUAAGCAGCCCAGGUAAACACCUCAGGCCUUCACAGAAAUAAGGGCCACCUCAGAGAGCAUUUGGAAAUAGAGAGGUUAGAGGACCCAAGGGAGUCCAAGGGACUUAUGGUUAAAGCUUGGAAAACAAUUAGAGUUGGAAUGCUCACCCAGCAGCAGCCAGGGGACCUGCCCAGCACUGCUCUCCAGAAACUCCAGGAGCAAAAUUCUGUUAGGUUGAUUUUCAGGAAAGGAAAAGAAAUCC